GGGGAAUAUUGCACAAUGGGGGGAACCCUGAUGCAGCCAUGCCGCGUGAAUGAAGAAGGCCUUCGGGUUGUAAAGUUCUUUCGGUAGCGAGGAAGGCAUUUAGUUUAAUAGACUAGGUGAUUGACGUUAACUACAGAAGAGGCACCGGCUAACUCCGUGCCAGCAGCCGCGGUAAUACGGGGGGUGCGAGCGUUAAUCAGAAUAACUGGGCGUAAAGGGCACGCAGGCGGUGACUUAAGUGAGAUGUGAAAGCCCCGGGCUUAACCUGGGAAUUGCAUUUCAUACUGGGUCGCUAGAGUACUUUAGGGAGGGGUAGAAUUCCACGUGUAGCGGUGAAAUGCGUAGAGAUGUGGAGGAAUACCGAAGGCGAAGGCAGCCCCUUGGGAAUGUACUGACGCUCAUGUGCGAAAGCGUGGGGAGCAAACAGGAUUAGAUACCCUGGUAGUCCACGCUGUAAACGAUGUCGAUUUGGGGGUUGGGCUUUAAGCUUGGCGCCCGUAGCUAACGUGAUAAAUCGACCGCCUGGGGAGUACGGCCGCAAGGUUA
rnacentral:rRNA from 1 species